rnacentral:rRNA from 1 species
UACGAAGGGUGCAAACGUUGCUCGGAAUCAUUGGGCGUAAAAGCGCACGUAGGCGGCUUUGCAAGUCUGACGUGAAAAUCCCUCAGCUCAACUGAGGAAGUGCAUCGGAAAACUGCAAAGGCUUGAGUACUGAAGAGGAUCGCGGAAUUCCCGGUGUAGAGGUGAAAAUUCGUAGAUAUCGGGAGGAACACCAGUGGCGAAGGCGGCGAUCUGGGCAGAUACUGACGCUGAGGUGCGAAAAGCGUGGGGGAGCAAACAGG